GGUAAUACGUAGGGUGCAAGCGUUAAUCGGAAUUACUGGGCGUAAAGCGUGCGCAGGCGGUUAUGUAAGACAGUUGUGAAAUCCCCGGGCUCAACCUGGGAACUGCAUCUGUGACUGCAUAGCUAGAGUACGGUAGAGGGGGAUGGAAUUCCGCGUGUAGCAGUGAAAUGCGUAGAUAUGCGGAGGAACACCGAUGGCGAAGGCAAUCCCCUGGACCUGUACUGACGC
rnacentral:rRNA from 1 species